GUUGGGUCGGCGGGUUCUUCCAAAAUUUAUCGAGAUACCCCCGGUGAAUGAGGGCUUCGAUCUCAUCCUUAAGCUGGAUGCAUUGCUCGGUGUUGUGGCCGUGGCCUCGAUGGAAUCGACAGUACUUCCGUCGGUCGAGGCCUUUUGCCUUCAGAGGCGGAGGCCGUCGCAGGUAUUCUUUCCCCUCGAUCUCCAUCAGAAUCUGCGCACGGGGGGCAG
rnacentral:lncRNA from 1 species